rnacentral:lncRNA from 1 species
UUGUCUUGAUUAUUGAUUGAUGUGGAAGGGCCCAGCUUACAGUGGGUGGUGCAUCCCUUGGCAGGCAGUCCUGGAUUAUAUAAGAAAGCACACUAAGCAGUUGGGAAGAGCAAGCUAAUAACCAGCACUUCUGCAUGGCAUUUGUUUCAAUUCUUGCCUUCAGUUUCUGCCCUGACUUCUUUCAUGAUAAGCUAUAAAAUGAAAUAAAUCCUUUCCUCACUAUGUUGCUUUUGGUCAUGGUGUUUUAUCACAGCAGUAGAAACCCUAACAAAGACAGCGUUCUUGAAUAGGUCUGUUUAUUUUCUCUAACUGUAAUGGAAUUGUGGGGUCAUGGGUCUGUGUGUCUUUGGUUUACUCCCUGUCUUCCCAGAUGUUAGUAGAUUCCUGAACAUAUCUUCAGUCUGUUUGCCAACCCUAUUAAAUACUAGUGUUGUUUCCUAUAUUUCAAACAGUUCUAAAUUGUUCUUUAUUUCAAAGACUAAAAAUCAUGCUUAUGCCAUAAUCCAUAGUCUUUCAUUUAGUAAUCUUUGAAACCUUGUAACUUAACAGCUAUUCACACUGUAAUCUCUGUGCAUUCGUUAUCGUACAGCAAUCUUUUUUUUUUGAGACAGGGUUUCUCUGUAUAGCCCUGGCUGUCCUGGAACUCACUUUGUAGACCAGGCUGGCCUCGAACUCAGAAAUCUGCCUGCCUCUGCCUCCCGAGUGCUGGGAUUAAAGGCGUGUGCCACCAUGCCCGGCUCGUACAGCAAUCUUGAAAAGACUGGUGGUCAGUUAGUAUCCUCUUUCUCUUAAAGAAGAGCACCAAGGGGCAGUUUUGCAAGAUUUGAACUGUAUGUCCUAUAAGUGAUAGGGGUUGAGUUCUUUAUAUAUGCCCAGGAGUAAAAGCUGAGUCAUAUAGUAGUACUAUUUUCUAAUUUUUUAAGGACUCUACAAAAUAAUUUCCAUAAUGGAAGUAUUAAUUUUCAUCCCCACUAGUUGUGAAUGUGUUCCUCUUUCUUCACAUUCUCUCUAACAUCUGUUGACUGUGACGAGCAGAGCCAGUGAGCUGUGAGCUUGAUUGGCAUCUGCUGGGAGGUCCUUCGGCUGUGUUAGAUCUGGAGGGUGCCACUGUUGGAAGUUCCAGAAGGUCCUUAAGAGCAUCAGCCAGCUACUAGCUCAGACAUGCAGGCCUGUAUGAACUCAGCAACUGUGUAGGUAGUUUGUUCUAAGAGAGCCAAAGUUACACAGUAGCCAGGCUCAAAAUGUCUUUGCAGAUGGGGAUCACCACAGUGGCUUGAAAUGCCCUGAGCAGUAAGAUCUGGGGGUUACCUCCAAAGUUCCAGUUUCUGUAUGGUUCUAUUGGACAUUAGCUUUGUACUAUCAGGGCUCACAGCUUAGGGUUGGUUCAUUAACAUAUCAGAGAGCCUUAUAGCUGCCUACUUAAUACCUCUUGCAAACAUUACAUUUUUCAAUGUUACACAGAAUGGUUUUACAGAAAAUGGUUUUCGUUAAUGUCCUAUCGUGUCAGAUUUCUUUUCUUUUUUCUUUUCUUCUGUUUGAAUUAUUUACUUUGAUUUAAUGUGUCUUGAGUGUUUUGCCUGCAGAGCCAGACUAGAGAGAGAGAGAGCCCUUAGUCCCCUGAAACUGGAGUUACAGAUGAUUGUAACCUUCCAUGUAGGUGCUCAGAACUAAACCCAGGUCUCUUCUGAUUCAACUCUCCUCAGCCCUGUUAGAUUUCUUGAUGUUAGGGCAUUCUGAAUUGGGUAAGAGUAGUUUUCAUUUGUAUUUCCCUGAUGGCUAGAAAUAUUGAACACUUUUUAAAAUCAGAUACUGACCAUUUGUGUUUCUCUUUAUUUUUUUAAAGAUUGAUUUAUUCAUGUAUUUUAUGUAGAUGAGUGCUAUAUCUUCAUGCACACCUGAAGAGGCAGUAUGAUUCCAUGAUAGAUGCCAAUGAGCCACCCUGUGGUUGCUGGGAUUUAACUUCAGGACCUCUGGAAGAGCAGUCAAGUACUUUUAACUACUGAGCUAUUUCUCCAGCCCUUUUUGAAAACUGUUCAAUGUCCGUUUGUUGAUUGGCAGUUUUGUUUCCUUGGUAUCUAAUAUCUUCAGUUCUUUGUAAAUUCUGGAUAUUAGCCCCUUGUGUAAAGAAUAUCUGAAAAGAUUUCCACCUAUUCUGUGGGUUGUUUCCCCUGCUGAUAGUUAAGUUUUCAUAGAAUCUCAUCCGCUGAUACAUGAGGCUGGUUCCUGCGCUGCUGAGGUUCUGUUUCAGAAAGGUCUCUCUGAGCCUAGUAUCUUGACGAGUAUCACCUGUUUUAUUUCAGUGCUUCAGGUUUUAAAUUAAGGAAUAUCAGCCAUUUUGAACUUAUUUUUUUACAAGGUGAAAAAUAUAAUCUGAGUUCAUUCUGCUGCAGAUAGAUAUCCAAUUAUGAGAGCACCAUUUGUUGAAUAGACUAUCUUUUUUCAAGUAUGUGCUGUUUGUUUCCAUUGUCAAAAUUAAGUAGGCAUAGCUUUGUUGUUUCAUUUCUGGGUCUUCCUUUUUAUUGAUCUUCGUGGUUUUAGCCAGUGCACUGUAGCUAUCUAUCACUGUAGUUCAAUUUGGGUCAGCUAUUGUCAUACUCCCAGCGAGUUCUUAACUCCUCAGGAUUGCUUGACUAGUUGGGCUCUUUGGUGGUACUAUAUGAUUCUGUUUCUUUAAUAUGAUCAGUAUGAUAAUAUAUUACAUAUAAUGAUUUUUUAUGUAACCUGUGAAACAUGGCAUCAGGUUGUUGAUAGGUAAUUGUAGUGUAUCUGUACAUUGUUUGAUGAUACAGCCAUUCCCACAGUAUUCUGCCAGUCCAGGAGUAUGGAAGGUCUCUCCAUUAUCCAUACCUUCUCUAGGUUUCUUUUUCAGUGUCUUGAAUUUUUUAUUGUUUAGAGGACUUUGAAUUCUUUGAUUAGGUAUAUUCCUAAAUACUUAAUUUUUAAAUUUUAUUUUGAAUGGAACACUUUUAUAAUUAAUUUUUCUGAGAGUACAUAGUUGGAGUGUAUGAAGACUACUGGAGUAUUUUUGUAGGUUGGUUUUUGUAUUCUGCAAUUUUUCUGUGUUUAUUAGAUCUCAGGAGUUUUCUAGUAAAACCAUAGGUAUUUUAAGUCAAGGAUCAUUGCAUCUAUAAUUAAAAAUAGCUUAACUUCUUAUUUUUAUCCAUCUCCUUUGUGUCUUUUGCUGUAGCUAAAACUGUAUCAAAUAAGAGAGGGGAGAAUAGGAAUUCUUAUGUCUUGUUCCUGAUUUUAGAGGAAAUGAUCUCCGUUUGUCUCUAUUUAAUAUAAUGUAUUUUAUAGUUUUAUUGUAUAUGUUCUAUUAUUUUGAUGUAUAUUCCAUCUACUCCUAAUAAUCCCAAAACUUGAUUAUGAAAGUUUGAUGUAUUUUGUCAAAUGCCUUUUUAGUAUCAAUCAAAAUGAUUAUGUGAUAUCUAUCCUUUAGUUCAUUUAUAUGCUAUAUUAUAUUUAUUAAUUUAUAUAUGUGAACCAGUGUUGUCUUUCUGCAAUGAAACACAUUUGGUCAUAACAUAUAAUCUUCUUAAUGUGUUCCUGAAUUCCAUUUGCAAGUAUUUUGCUGGGAAUUUUUGCAUCUGUUCAUUAAAGAAACUGGUCAGU